GUGUGUGUGUGUGUGUGUGUGUGUGUGUGUGUGUGUGUGUGUGUGUGUGUGUGUGUGUGUGUGUGGGGGGGGGAAGGGGGGAUGCCUCUGGGUCGAUGGGCUAUACCCUAGUGGUGGAGUGUGCGUGGGGCAGGUUUGUACUGUU